UACGGAGGGGGCAAGCGUUGUUCGGAAUUACUGGGCGUAAAGGGCUCGUAGGUGGCCAACUAAGUCAGACGUGAAAUCCCUCAGCUUAACUGGGGAACUGCGUCUGAUACUGGAUGGCUUGAGUUUGGGAGAGGGAUGCGGAAUUCCAGGUGUAGCGGUGAAAUGCGUAGAUAUCUGGAGGAACACCGGUGGCGAAGGCGGCAUCCUGGACCAACACUGACACUGAGGAGCGAAAGCCAGGGGAGCAAACGGG
rnacentral:rRNA from 1 species